rnacentral:rRNA from 1 species
UACGGAGGAUGCGAGCGUUAUCCGGAUUUAUUGGGUUUAAAGGGUGCGUAGGCGGACGCUUAAGUCAGCGGUAAAAUUGCGGGGCUCAACCUCGUCGAGCCGUUGAAACUGGGUGCCUUGAGUGGGCGAGAAGUACGCGGAAUGCGUGGUGUAGCGGUGAAAUGCAUAGAUGUCACGCAGAACUCCGAUUGCGAAGGCAGCGUACCGGCGCCCAACUGACGCUGAAGCACGAAGGCGUGGGUAUCGAACAGG